ACUGUACUCCCUCCGUUCGGAAACACUUGUCUUAGAAAUGGUUGUAGAACACUUGUCUUAGAAAUGGUUGUAGAUUCUAAGACAAGUGUUCUACAACCAUUUCUAAGACAAGUGUUUACGAAGGGAGGGAGUACAAG
rfam:Triticum urartu cultivar G1812 contig423910, whole genome shotgun sequence.